GAUUUGUUUUCCGAUAAUUCGGGUGUGCUCGGUUGCGAAAAGUGGCUGCCAUCGGCUAUCUUCGGCGGCGAUCGCCACAAGGAGGGAGUUCAACCCUGCCGGAGAGCAACAGAGAUAGAGGAGAGCAGUGUGACAUGGCGACGAUACGAAUGGAUUGAUGUUUUUCCUCGGAAAAUUCAUCCCUCAAACGACAUCACUAACAUGUUCAGGUCCCCCUGCGCUCGUCACAAAAUCUGCGGAACAGAAAAUAUUAAAAGACCUUAAAAUGUAAAAACGACUAUUGUUGUUAUUUUAUAGAAUUGUUCUUGGAACAAGAGAAAAAAAUACUUAUUUAUACAUUAUAGAUUGUUGAAAUAUUAGAUGACAAAUUCUAGAGGGUGAAUAUAUUCCUAACUAAGAAGUGAUUAUACAGGCAAAAUGGCUUCACAAAGGUUCUGCUUGAGGUGGAACAACCACCAAUCGAAUAUGUUGUCAGUAUUUGACCAACUACUUCACGCUGAGACCUUCACGGACGUUACUCUAGCAGUAGAUGGCCAGCUACUAAAAGCCCACAAAAUGGUACUAUCAGCCUGCAGUCCGUACUUUCAGGCUCUCUUCGUCAACCAUCAGGAAAAACAUCCGAUCGUCAUUUUAAAAGACGUUCCUUAUUCAGACAUGAAGAGUUUAUUAGAUUUCAUGUACCGAGGGGAAGUGAGCGUCGACCAAGAGCGAUUGACGGCAUUCUUAAAAGUAGCUGAAAGCUUGAGAAUAAAAGGACUCACUGAAGUAAACGAAGAAAAAUGUGAUAUCCCAGCUCUUACAAAUUCUUUAAUUCAACAACAGCAACAAACUUCUGCUCCCGCCCACACCCCUCCACCCCAACUUCACCGAAUACACCCUUACAUGCAACAAAAGAGACCAGCUUCAGGGAUGCCAACUGGUGGAGCUCCCCCAAAUUUAUUAAUGCCUUUGCUCGGAAAUGCUCUAAUGCAGCCUAAAAGAAAAAGAGGCAGGCCGAGAAAAUUAAGCGGCAGUUCAAGUGAUGCCCUGACCACCGCUGCGAGUCCACCGGGAGAGUUCAUACCCGAGUCAGCCUCCCACGCUGCUUCCAACAGGCCUGGUGAUCAGUUAAUUAGAGGAUCUCCAGAAAUGCUUGAAGUGAAAAUGUCUAUGGACGGUUUCAGUGCUGAGGACGGCGCAACAUCGGGGGGCGAGGAGGGCGGGGAGGCGCUGCUUAUCGACGAGGGCGACGACGCGCACUCCACGGACGCGCACGCGCAGAUGGCAGGGAAGGACUCGGAGUCUGCAGAUCCCGAAAAAGCGUCAAAAGGAGAAUUACACCAGAAUAAUAAUUCAACAAACGGACCGACCCUCUCUAUCGAAAAUGGAUCCAUUAAGCAGGAGCCGGCAGCCGACCUCACCGACGGCGACGGCUAUAACGAACCUAUCGAGUACAAGUACAACCCCGACAGGAGCCGCGAUAACUCUAACUCCAGGGAUGAUCCCAUUAAACACGCAGAUGACAAAAUCCCACUGGGCAGAAAUUUAAAGCCAAAGAAUAGUAAAAAACUACUACCCCAAAUGUCAAAAAUUAGAGCCCGAAACUUGUUCAAUCAGCUCUCCGGCCUUUCCAACCUCAACCCCGCUCUUAACAGUUUCGACAAAUUCGCACCCGAAACCGUGCUCAUGCCGGCUCUUGCCACGCAGCUGUUCGCCGCCGAGCUCGAGCAGAACACUCUGAGCCUCACCAACAACGAGGUGGCCGACCUCGCGCAAACUAACUGGGAACAUCGUAUAUUCCCUUCUCCUAUAAGGAAAAAUAAUAUGGCCAACUUGGCCAACUAUCAUGAGGAAACAAAUGAAUCCGUUAGGGAUUACUGCAUCAAAGAGGGAGAAAAUGUUUUCAGAUGCAAAAUUUGUUCUCGAGUUUAUACUCAUAUUAGUAACUUCUGUCGGCAUUACGUCACUUCGCACAAGAAGGACGUCAAAGUUUUUCCAUGCCCUAUUUGCUUUAAAGAGUUUACUAGAAAAGAUAAUAUGAUUGCGCAUCUAAAAAUAAUUCAUAAAAAUCAAUCAAACGCUAACGAGCAAAUGGCUAAACAGGAGUCUUAAAAGACGUGGCAAUAUUAUUUAUCAAACUCUUAAUUUUUCUAUUAUUAUUUGUUGGUAUACAAAGAUCUGAGUUGAGCACGAGCAGAGGGUGGAGUGCCUGGUCGCGCGGAUACAAGCGGACAUUAUUAUGAUUAAAGUUGCAUUGAGUAGGUUUUGAGAUCUAGUUUCAAAUAUAUACAUAAAUCUAUUUAACAGUAAGUUUGUUGAUGUAGGUCGAUGAAAGAGUUGUUAUAUUUAUUAUUAUUUUCAAAUUCAUUUCUCAGAGAACUAUCUUCUAAGAGGUUUAUGAAUGUUUCUACUUAUUUUACUUGUUAUUUCGCACUUAUGUACUUGUUACUUAAUUUUAUUACUUACAAAAUUUCAGGGUACAAAAUAAUUACUCAAGGUGAUCGUUUAUCAAAUGAUAAAUUUAAAUUAUCCUAGAUAACCGCAUAAUGAUGUGCUAACAUUAUUUGCAAUUCUCAUUGAACUGAAUUAGUGUAGGUUUCUUAGUUGUUUAUAUUGUUCGUUUAUUGAAGACGCGAAUAGAAUGGCGCGGUAGUAGUUAGUAGGUAUUUAUUAUGCGAUGAAGCGGCUCGUCCAGAAGAGGCUACCGAGCGGAGCCACCUACGCCGCGCUGCGGGAAGCCGCGGCGCCGGCGCCGGCGCCGGUAUCCGCUCGCCGUCCUGUACAAACUCUAGAGCGCAGAGUACUAGUGGUUUCAAUUAUAAAUUGCAUUUUCAUUUGACUUGCCUUAUUAGUGAUUUUAGAUGUAAAUAACAAUUUAACUUCUUCGAAGUAAAACUCAACACAGGCUAUGAUUUUUUGUCUAAGUAGGACUUGUUAAGAUUAUUUUAUAAUAGUUUAUUCAAUGUUGAAAGCUUUGGUUGUAAAUGUAAAUGUUAUUCAUUACAGAUACAUAUUAGAGAAAUUACUUACCUAUGUAUGAUGUGAAUGAGAAAAUCUUAAAAUAGAUUUUUAAAAUCUCAAUAACAGCGAAAUUUAGGUGGUAGACGUCACGUAGUUAAAGAUUCAGUUCCUGAAUAUUAAUUUAAGCUUUGAGCUAAGUACUUAAUGGCCCAAACAUUAGCUGCGCCUGCGACGCGACGCCACUGCGCGUGCGUCGACGGCCACGCGCAGCGCCGGUGUCGGCGCGGUAGGAACUCUCACUAUGUUUCAGUUAAGGACCAACUAGGUGCAUGCGUAGGUAACUAGUACCUACGUCUAGAAGAACAAGUUAUAAUUUGUGUACCUAUCGUUCAAUAUUUUAUCUUUCAAAGACAAUAUUAUGACGAAAAGAAAUAUAUGAGAAUUAUCUAGAUCAGUAAUUACACCGAUUCGCAGCCGUACAGAACUAAAUAUAAAAUACCAGAUGUUUUUAAUGUUAACCUGUAAAUAUUAUCAUUACAACAGAAGUUGUAAAUGUGAUCUAAAAGCAAGGUGCUUUGAAAGAAAUUAAUAAAUGACAGGAAUCAUGAGAUGAUUUGUAAAUUCUAUUUUAGUAGAAAUCAAAUGCCUUAAAUAUUUGAUAAGUAACAGUACUUAAAAUAUUUAAUAAAUCUAGAGGCAAAAUGUAGUCUUCCAUAUAUCGAUAGCGACACUUUAUCUCUAAUCAGUCAGUAAGUAAGUUGACAAUAUGUCGCUUACGACGAUGGUAUAUUAUUGUUCAAGAGAUGUGUAACUAUAGUAAGCCAAUAUCAGCCUUACUUAAACCCAUGUGCUGAUUAAAUUUGUGUGACACAAGACUGGAUAUUUAACGAGGUAGAAGUACCUUGGUAUCGAUGCCCUCGUACUUACAAACGUAGUUGUAGACUGGUAUCGGUGCCCUCUAGGGAAUGCUCCCGGUACUGGGUUUGUAUGGCGAGAACCGGGAAUUCCCGGUUCCGGUACUGUAUUUGUAUAGAAAACCAGUACUGGGAGCACGAGCACGCCCUCCUACAAACGUAGCUAGAGACGCGCCCGUCGCUGUCAUUCCUAACCACACACACACACACACACCCCACGCCGAUUAAAUAUUCACCAUAAUUCAAUUGAAACAUGGACUCGUGAAAUUAUUUAUAACUGCUUUAACUGCAUUUAAAUUCCUGCAUGGUUUCUUAAUUUACAUAUAAAGCUUAAAUGAAAAACUACGUUUGUAUGUUUAAGCGGAAUGGUGUAUAGUGUGGUGCAUGUCGGGUAUUUCUUUUGAUGAAAAAUUACAUGUUGAUUGCAUAGCGACUGCGUAUAUAUUUAAAAAGACUUUUCUAAUAUAUUCCACAGUGGUUGACAUCAGUGACAAAUUGCAUUUUCUACAAUCGCUUUAGCCAUAUUUUUAACCACUUGUUAAUUUUCAUAGUUUUAUUCAUAAUAUAUUUUUAACUGUACAUACAUGUUUAUUCUUAUAAAUUUUGUGUGAACUUUUUGUGUGUUUCACUCUUACUACUGCUUUAUUUAAUCUGCACGCCAAGCGAAUUAAUAAAGAUAUUUAUUUUCUCAAUUGAUUUAUUCUGCUCCAAACGAAAAUUUAACGCUCUGAUUCGUUCUUGAUUUUAUAUUCAAUAAUACGGUUCCCACGUUUCCAGUGCUAGCCGGCUUUUCUAUUCCUUAGGAGUUCAAACGUGUUAACUAUACUUGUUAAAUAAUAAACCGAAAACUUAUUUAUUAAUUAUAACAUAGCUUCCAAAUCUAUUUACUUUUCUUUACUUACAUUUCUGUAUGACCAUUAUGUAAAGCUUUUAUUUAUUCUUAAUCGAAUGUAUUUUUUGCUUGCCAUGCAACAUUGUCACUUAUGUCAACUGUGUUUGUGAUGCAUAAUAUAAUAAUGAAAGGCCGACAUGCACCGUGGUCUUUGUUGAUCAACCACUGCGAGGGUGUCGCGUGUCGUAACGUAACUGUUGUAAGGCUGCCAUGUCAUGUCACACAUUGUUGGCAGUUGAACCUUAAAUAUUAAAUACAAAUUACGUUUACCCUAAAAGUCGAGUUUCUAGUAACAUAAAGUAGGUCCACAAAACGCUUGCCUAUUAGUGUGCCUUUACUUGUACAUUAAAUAGUAAGUUAAAUAUUUAUUGACUAUAUUAGACUAUUAAGAAAUGUCAAAGAAUGUUAUGUAAAAUUAUUUAUUUAAAUUAUUCAGAGUUUACACUAUACUUUAAGAAGCUUCCAUAGGAAUUUAGAGACCAUUUAGGCCCAUGUAGAACAAAUAACGUUGUAUGUACUUAUCUAAUCAUAAGUAAUAUAUCAUCUCAUGUUUCCGACUUAAUUUGAAUAUCGAAAAUGUUAAAAGAUUUUCAAAUGAGCUACUUACCUAAAUUAUAAAAAAAGAGGCGACAAGUCUUGGUGAAAUCAAUAUUAAGACUGUAAAAAUUCUUAAAAACGAAUUUAAAUUACCUUUCAUAAGCUUUUAUACAAUUUAAACGGGGCAAUCUUUGAAAGGUACUUAAUGGGGAAAUUUAUAGGUACGUAGGGUGAGGCAAUCAAUGGACAUUAAAAUCUCAUACUUAAGUAGUCAACCAGUGCCUAAGCUUACAAACCUUAUUCGAAAUUUAUAUUAAGUAUCUAAUUUAUCGUUCUUGUCCUAAAUCGUUAAGAUUUUUUUAUUUUAUCAAUUAAAUAGAUUAAUAUUUACGACGUCGAUUGGAUGUUAUUUAUUACAUAUUAUAAUAUCAUCAAUUGGUGCUAAUUAUGCUUAAGAAAUGUUACAUCUGAUGUAACAUUCAAAAGAAAUUUCCGUAUAUUAUUUACGUAUAAAAUUAUUGUAUGUCUUUUUCGUUAAUGUUGUUAUUUUAAUGAGUAUAUCUCUUAUUUCAGUUGUCGAUAGGUUGCACUGGCUGCACAGUGCUAGAAAUGGGAUUUGGAUUUUAUCAAACGAGACCCGUUCGCAAGAACAGCUCGAUUCAGUCAUAAUGAUGUGUGUGAAUAUUUAAAUAACUACACUUGUAUUUAAUUACUCAGAACAAGUAGGUACUAGAAAACUUAGGUAAGACUAAAUCGCAGUACCUACCACUGUUGUUAGAUGACACAUAUUCGAUACUGUAAUGUUGAUUAUCACCUCCCUAAAACAAUAAUUACUUAGAAUUAUACAUAAACUUAAAAUUAUAAUCACUUACAUGAUUCAUAUGUUUAUUGACAUUAAACACUUACAAUAGGAUUCUUAAACUUAUCGGAAACUAACAAUGACGUUUCAUUCAAACACAAUAAGCUUAGAGUAGACGGCAUUCUACAGAGUACGUAUUGAGAAACAUAUUUACUGGAAUAAAUAUUCAAGUUAGAAAAAGCUCUCUAUCAAAAUGUGUGUAGUGUUCAUGCGAAUCGGUCGCUACAGAGUACGAUUAUAUUUAAUAUCUCCGUGUGUUCAGGGGGCCUAGCCAAGGUGACAAUGGUUCGCGCCGUAGCGGACGAAACGCUAAUGUACCUAUCUCUAUCAUUGAGAGAGUGGCGUUUCCUUCCUACGGGGGAAACGAUUCUCAUCUUGGUCAUCUUUGAACUUAUAGCAUCGUAAUGGAUUCAGUCGUCCAUUUUACGCGCGUGCUUGUUUUUUCCCGUAAAAGUGGAAGUUUCACAUUUUAAUUCCUAAUAUAAACAACCUACAUGAAACUAAAUAUUAAUUGAUACACCUGCGCAAUACCUGUGACGGCAUCUAGAGCGUUCUGUGCGUUCGUAGCGUACGUACCUAUAGGUAUUAGGUAUCAUUAAAAUUACAUAAUAAAUAAGUAUAUUAUGUAACGAUGUAAUUGGAUGAAAAUAUUAAUAACGAACUUGAUCAAAAUCCGUCCAAAUUGAUGUGUUAGAACGCCAUCAAUCAUCAUACUCAUAAAUCUCAUAAUGACAGAUAUUAUUCAUUGGUGAAUCAAUUUGUAAUUAUUUAUUCUUUUCUUUUCAAAAUAAUUGCGUAAAAAAGGAGUGUUGGGGCCGUUGGAUUUGUAGCUUAAAAAUAGUUAUAUCAUAUCAGGGUGCAAAGUUGUAUUUUACCCGCGAGUGUGGAAUUGAAACACGAGCAAGCGAAAGGAUUCUAUAGUUGAACCACGAGCGAAGCGAGUGGUUCUAAAAUAGAAUCCUGAGCGUAGCGAGUGUCUUAACACACGAGAAGUAAAAUACAUUUGCACCCGUGUGUAACACAAAACUUUUCCCGUCACUAUAGCGAGGGAAGUGCAACAUCCACAGGCGUUAGAUCAUCUUCAUCAACUGGACUCAAGUCAUUUUUUUUACGAUAUUAUAACAAAAAAACUCUGGAAAUUCUGUACUUUUACGUGAGAAGUUUUUAAGUAAAAAUUUUUUGACAAUGUUGACAUUUCUGACGUACGAAAUGUCAAUGAUGCGUUUUGAAAUUGCAUCGACUUAACUUGUGCGUUCAGAAUUAUAUUUAACAUAAUUAUUAAAAAACAAACGUUUUUUAUGGAAUUUUAAGGUUUAUGACUUAAGCUAAAUCUGGUAUUUUUUAUUAGAUUCUCAAACCAUUUAUUUAAUGAUAAUUAAUAUCGAACGAACCAUUAUUAUGAGCGUUUUUCGUUUUGUUAUCUGUCAAGCUACUUAAACACGCUCCAUCCAAAGUCAAAUUACUUUCCCCACUAGUGGAUAAAAUGCGUUUUUCCCCGCUUGUUUUAAAGGAUAAAAGACGGCUUUCCGAGCUAGUGAGGGGAAAAGUAAAUUACUUGUACCUAUAUUACAAUGAAACCUACUAAACAAUGUUUUUAAUAAUCUGAUUUAUAUAAUUUUCCGACUACGUGAAAGCGGUAUAAUUUUGGCAGUAUGUUUUUAUUUUUUGAUUCACUUAACCGAUAAAUAUGUUUCUCAAUUUGUAUGGGACACAGUUAACAUACGGCGUACUUACUAACCUACAGAAUACUUAAAUAUUAACUGUUCGUGAUAUAAAUUUACUUCACACAACUACAUACAUAUUAUGAUAAUCGUAGAAUUAGCCAAAAAUAAAUUUUAACAGUUUUUAUUAUUAUUUGCACUUAGACAAUAGCCAAUGCAAAGAGUAAUGUUUAGGACAUUUUAGAAUGAAAGUCACACGACAUAGCAUUGUUUGUUAAAAAAGGAAUAAAUAUAUAAGGUGUUAAUUACUAUUUUUAGAAUCUUUAAUGAAAGUAAUAAAGUUACAGCAAAAUGUAUGAAUUUUUUCAAUUAAUGUUAUUACUUUGUUUUGUUUCAUUUGUUGUUGUUAAUUUAAGUACCUCUUUAUUUUAAAAUUUUCAAUUUUGGUAAUAUCGAAAUAUACCUUAUUGUGAUUUUUCUUAAGAGUUCUUGUCGUAUAAGACAUGAAUUCACUGACUACAUUCACGCAUUAUUAUUGACUUAUGUGCACGUCUAUAAUUGAUAAAGUUUAUGUUUAGUGAAAGAUGUUUCAUGGGACGUGGCGGGUCCUUGGUACUGGUUGUAUUGUAGUGGAGUCGCGCGUACGCGUACAACGUGACACUGUUUCAGCAGGUUUGUUAAUUGUGAAACCUUAGUACCAUUUGAGCUGUUAGUUUUUUUUUGAAAACGGGCCGAUCGUCUCGUCAUCGGUUAUUUCGCAAUUACCUACCCUGCCCCACGUCGUGAUGUCUACUUCAACACCGACACGGACUUCUACAUGUCCUAAAUCGUUAUUGUUGUUAGCAAAGCAAACAAUAAUGAUUACUAUUUAAUAUUAUGUAGUAGCAAAGUAACAACACGGGUUAUUAGUAAAACAUAGAUUAAAAGUUAAGUUAUUUAUAUUAUAAUUAGAGGUAAAUAGUGCUGUUAAACAUUUGAGUGAAUUUCAAUACUUAGAAAGCUUUAUUAGUGAGGAAAGUUACGUAGAGAGGAGUGUUCAGGUAUGUGAUUACGUUGAUACUACUUCUACUCUCUGUUCGUAGCGGUGUGCGUGUGGCGGACCCUAGUGCUAGUGCUAAUGCUAGUGCUAGAUCACUUCAUUCAGUUCGCUUUCUAUGUUGCUCAAACUGACACUAUGUGACAAAAUAUUUUGUUUGAGUACAAAUUAUUGCUUUGUUUGUUUUUUGUUGAUCAUGUACGAGUAGAAAAUAUUGCAACUUUACCAUGAGGAUAAUUAUUCCCGCUCAUGUUUUGUCGAAGAUUAUAUUUUGAAUUAUAUUUCAUUACCAUAUACACUUACAGCGCAGCUAUUUUCUAGAGUGUGUAAGCUAACGCCAAUGGUACAAUUUAUAUUAUUUUUACAUCUUUGAGCCCACCUUAUGUGAUCUUAAGAACUAAGUUUACCGAAGUGUUAUUUUUAUACGACGUACAACUGUACUUGCCGAAAUAGUUCCAAAUGCAAACACUUGAGUCCUAUUAUAUCAUAGAGAAUCCUGUUCUUUUUUGUUAUAUCAUUAUUAAUUUAUUAUUUUAGAUUACGAUUAACUUAAAUAGAUUAGGCAGUUUGACUUUUUCGUAAGUUUAUUACAAUUUUCAAAUAUGUAUUCAGUGUUCUUAAUUUUGUUUUGGAUAUAAAAAUGUAUUGUUAGCCAUCAUCAUUUGUUGGACUGAUAUUUUUGUCAUCAAGUAGUACUGUUAGUUUUACUUGACAUGUUGUGACCCAUUGUUUGUUUUAUUUCCAAAUUUAUUUUUCAAUUGGUUGUAAGUAGUAUUUUUUUCGAGAGAGAUUGCAUGAACAAAUUUUCGACUUGAUACUGAACUAUACGUAUAAUCUAUUAAUUAUGUCAGUUUAAUUGAAAAGGUGCUAAAACAGUAACUAUAAGCAUAAAACUUGUUCAUGAAGUACUUAUAUUCGCUUAUGUUCAUGGUCUUCUUUUAUUAAAAACUUAUGGUAAUUAAUUUCGACAAUCAAUUUGAACAAAUAAAGGUUUAUAUAUUUUC